rnacentral:lncRNA from 1 species
UCUACAACAUUCCCAACAUUCUCAUUCCUUAUGGUCACCUUGGAGAUGGAGCUAUGCUGAGUUCAUGGUUUGAUUGACCACCUGCUCAUUUUGGUGACAGCAUCUUGUCCUUUACCCUUUGUCAUUUUGAAUGACUGUUGAGUUGCCAGAUUCUGUCUACUGAUCCUCUCACCCCUGAGUUCCAGCUAUCCAGCAAGGUAGAGAUCAAGCUGUCUGCACAUAGCCCAUUGCCACACAAUGGGGAAAGGAAGUAAAUUGAUGAGCUUACUCCAGAUGAGUCUCCAUUCAAAAUCAAGAAAUAGCCCACUCUCUAUGAUGUAGAACUAUCUGGAAGAGCUCAAUUCUGGACUUGCCAAUAUGAUGUUCUACCUGCUGCUUUGAUAAAUUGGAUUCCUCAAGCUAUGCCUAAUUUUUGGGUGUGGGCCUCUACAUGUGUUUCCAUCUGUUGCUGGGUGAAGCAGAGACCGAUGCCAUGACAAGGAUCCUAUAUGUGACACUGUUAAUUAUAUUCUGCUAUACUUGCAGUCAGGAGCAUAGCCUGACAUCAGAACAUUCCUAAGGAAGUUAUGUGUCCUUAGCAACCUUAUGAGGCUAGGUAGGAUGAAUCAGAAUUUAUGAAGCACAGAGAAGAAACUUUCACCUCUAGAGCUUCAGGAGAAUCCAAGCUUCCUCUUGUUAGUUAAUAUGUGGCCCCAUUGCAAACAGAAUCCCGUGUUAUGCUUUGAAGGAGUCUGAGUAUGGGGCCGUAGGAAGAAGAUUCAGGCUCAGAUGGAGUUGUGCUACUCACUGAGGCACUCCUGGAGUGGUGAGUGGGAAGAGAAACAGAAGUGUCCAAGCACAGACAGAGCAAGGACUCCAUGCCAGAAAGUUUGGAAUUGUGGAUCUAGAUAGCAUUUGCAGUUGACUUCACCCUGUGACUCAGAGAUAAUCCACAUGGUAGAGUGAAGAUGAUGUUUUUUAUCAGAACUGUCACAUAAGACAGAAAUAUGUAAUAAAGAUACACAGGUUUCAGGCUGAGGAUAUAGAUCUGUGGGGAAAGUGCUUGCCAUGCAUGUUUGAAGAGCUGCAUGUGGAUCCUCAGAAGCCAUGUAAAUCUGCACACAGUAGAAACAUCCUGUAACUCCAGCACUCCUAAGGCACAGAUGCAACAGGCUGAAAUUACCCAAGCACCAGAAGCCACGGUAUGAGCUGUAAAUUACAGACUGAGGAAGAGAUUUGAGGAAUGAGAAGCCAUGUCUACAGGUCCAAAAAGACAAAGAUGCUUGCCUCCUUUGGGAGUUAAUUUAAAUCAUGACUCACAAAUCUCUGCCUGUUAACCAUCUCUGGUCUUUUGUUCUCUGGUCUUCAGACUCAGGCAUGAAAAGAUGCCUUUAAGUUGGGAUUAGCUCCCAUGAUCUAAAUGUGUCUCCUACAAAUCGUAUGUAGGAUCCUUUCUCCACUCAACAAUGGUAAUAGAUGGAAGCUGGUUAGAUAAGGUAGUUAAAACAGUCAUGAUUGGAGUCAGUACACUUAUAAAAGAGGCCCAAGGAAUGUGUUUGCCUCUGUGUUGUCAUCAAUGUGAGGAUUUAGAAGGUGCUUUCUGUGAGACAAGACAUGAGGUAUUACUAAAAAUCAGUCCCAACCCCCAGAAUGGCUAAGGAUGUGUUUACCCUGUAUUAAACCACCACUGGUACAGACUAAGUAAACAAAUAUAGUGUCAGAGGUGGUAUGUCUUAGAUUCACUGGUAUUAUCACAUAACAUCUCAAAGGGUAGAAUGUAGAGACAUGAAGCACAGAAGAAGAAAGGUCUCUUCUUCUAUCACAUCAUUAGUAUUGGUGUUGGUUUUAGAAUGGCUUCCAACUAGUAGGGUCUUAGCAGUCUAACAAUGACUGUCUUCAAGCUGGAAUAUCUGAGAAACAGUAGCUGCUCAGUUCAUGGCCUGGACUCCACUGCAGUUCCCAUCUAGUAUUGAAGGGAUGGAAGGUUUCUGGUAGAUUGCUGGUCAUGUGUCCACAUUGGAAAGCUGAAGAAACUUGAUUGUGGUAUCCUGGAAAAAUGCCAGCAGCAGCAGCAGCAGCAGCAGCAGCAGCAGCAGCAGCAGCAGCAGCAGCAAGAAGCUAACACAGGCAGGGAAACUAGCACUAAUUCCUUGAAUCUCCUUAUUCCUGGGCAACUAUCCUAGGUGGUUUUAUGUCACCUUGAUACAAGCUAUAAUCAUGAGAGAGGAGGGAGCCACAGUUGAGGAAAUGUCUCCAUAAGAUCCAUCUAUAAGACAUUUUCUCAAUUAAUAUCCAAGGGGGAGGACCAAGUCCAUUGUGGUUGAUGCCACCCCUUGGAGAGUGGUCCUUGGUUCUCUAAGCAAGCCAUGGGAUGGAAGCCAGGAAGCAGCACCCCUCCAUGACUUCUGUAUCAGCUCUGGCCUCUGGGUCCCUGAUGUGUUUGAGUUCCUGCCCUGACUUCCUUCACUAAUGAACAGCAAUAUGAAAGUGUAAGCUGAAUAAAAUAUUUUCUACCCAACUUAUUUGACAGUGGAUAAGUGAUGAAGAUGAGCAUUACCUAUUAUAAAGAUGCCUUUAAGGACAAAAUCAGAUAAGACCUAGUAGAUGAUAAAGAAAUUUUCAUCUAUCUGAAUGGCAACAGCCCCAUUCACAAGGAUUUUCCUGAAACAAGCUACAGAGAAGGCUCCUGGAGGGAAGAAGAGAGAUAAGAAAUGAUUUUGUAAAGCAGAAGUCUGAAAUCAAAGCAUCAGGAGGACCAGGCUCCCUUCCAAAAGGAGAACAUUUCCUACCUCUUUCAGACCCUUGUUGCUCCAAGCACCUCUUGGCCCAAGGCUACAUGGAUCCAGUAUUUACCUCCGUCAUCACAAGGCAGACUCCCCGGAGCUGAGUUUGUCAUCACAGUGACUGGAAGCCAAGGUCUUAAAUAAUACAGAUUCAGGGCUGGAGGCUCACAGAGGAUGGAGCUGUGGUAGUGAUCAGAGCUCCUGAUGGCUGAGUCCACAGCAGAACUCUGGGAUCUCUGAAGCAUGAAGGGAACAUGAGAAAAAUCCUCCCAGGAAGCAUUCUAUCACCAAGAGACAACACAUUGAUCAUGGACUCUGAGCAGCUGAUUGCUCAAUUCUGAAUGCAGUGGGUACUUUAAUAGAUUCCUUUUCUGCUGGGAAGUCUGAGAUCCUGGAUUCUGAAUGCUGGCCACAAAGAAAAGGGAUAAAGAUCUCUCCACGCAAAUCACAGGUCCUGAGCAGGAAGAGAAACUCGAGCCUUAUAUUUAUGACAUAGUUCUGUGGUCACAGCAAGAAAGUGCUGGUGGAGGCACAGCAGAGAGUGAUGAGGGAUGGGGCUUUCCUAGAGG